GCAUCUCCUAAGCUACUGUACUUCCCCAAGGAAUAGAGAAAGUUACUGUCUUGUCUCCAGGGCCAAAAGAAGAAUUAAACUACCCGUGUGUUCACUUCAGACCUUGGAAAUAACUAGCUACAACCAUUUGUUUGUGCUUUCUUUUUAUUAGCUUCCUCUGCAUGGCUGCCUUUGCGCUUUAUAUCACAAUGUCAUAUUAUCAAGGCUCCAGAAUGAAUGUGAACUUCCCGUUGUUUCUGAGCACGACUUUCUCGGUGACAGUUCCGGCAAUUUACUUCCCACUGAAGAAACCAGGAAGGCCCUGCCCUCUGGGAUAAUUAAGCAUGACAGAGCUGCUGCUGUUUUGGCUGCUUUAGGUCAGCUUUCCCAGUGCCUCUGAUGAUCAAGGCAUUGGAGUGUCCAGUUUCAUUCCUGUUCUUAUUUGUAUUCAUUUUCCAGCAUGAGCCGAAACACCGAGCAACAGAUGAUCCAUU